rnacentral:lncRNA from 14 species
AUCUGGAUCAGCACACAGGAAUGUAAAGCUGGCUUUCUGUCUGAGUGCUCUGUGCAUUAUGAGCUGUCAUUAGUUUCUCCAUCUGCCUGAACUACCCUCAUAGGACACGCAGCUCCCUGGCCCUCUUCCCUGCUGUUCCCUGCUCUCUGGCCAAGCACUGCUUCUCAGGCUGUGCUGUAUAGGAUGAUAUCUACCCUGAAUUACAAGCACUGGGGCCCAGCACCAUGGUGUGAAGGUGAGAAGAGCAGGGUGGGAGGUUGUGUUUCACAGAUGAGCUGUGCCUCCAAUGCCACAUUUCACCCUUGUCCCGCUGCAUCAGCAGCAUCUCUGGGAAGGCUGAUGUGGCUCCAGGGAUCUCUGAUCCAGCUUUGGUGCAGGACCCACUGGGAAACUGAGAGCAAUGGGGAGAUGAGCUCCAGCAGUGCUCCUUAGUGGCUGAAAAGCAGCAGAUUCUCCUUUUCACGCAGCUGCGGGCACAGUGUGUGCCUUUCCUUUUGGUAACAGCAAAUAAUCAAACAAACACUGGUGGUUUCACUGGUUCCCAGUUCAACAAAACCCCAUUUUCCAGUGGGAGAAUAUGCAAUCCAUGGAACUUGCAGCUGGCUGUGCUGCUGCCUGCUGUUUCCAGUUGCCUUCCUAUGAUGCGGUGUGCGCAUCCUGAAGACGUGCCUCCAUCAACCCUUUCAUACAGUAGAUUGAGCUGCCAAUCAUCAAAUGACCUGAAGAGAAAAGAGGAGACAAAGAAGACUGAAGAAAACUCUGUGGGGAUGUGUGGAAGGACACAGGAGGAUUUCAUCCAGUGUGAUGGGAGGUCAUUGAAGAUGGAAAAGGGACACUUACUCUCAUCAAGACAUCCUGUUCCCCAUCCCACACCCUGGGGCAAGGAGGAUGAUGAACCCUCUUGUGCACUGAUGAACUGUGCACCAACAAAACCAAUCCUGAUGGACUGUGGUGAUGGAGAGGGAAGGCACAGCAAGAAACACAUCCAUGAGCCUUGGCAUGAAGUGUGA